rnacentral:rRNA from 1 species
GUCCACGCUGUAAACGAUGGGCGCUAGGUGUGGUGGGUUUUUAAUCCCUCCGUGCCGCAGCUAACGCAUUAAGCGCCCCGCCUGGGGACUACGGCCGCAAGGUUAAAACUCAAAGGAAUUGACGGGGGCCCGCACAAGCGGUGGAGCAUGUGGUUUAAUUCGACGCAACGCGAAGAACCUUACCUUGGCUUGACAUGUGAGGAACCUCAGGGAAACCUGGGGGUGCCCAGCAAUGGGAACCUCAGCACAGGUGCUGCAUGGCUGUCGU